rnacentral:tRNA from 1 species
UGGCUCAGUAGAUAGAGCAUGGUGUUUGCAAUGCCAGGGUUGUGGGUUUGAUUCCCAC